ensembl:misc_RNA Metazoa_SRP Metazoan signal recognition particle RNA
GCCAGGUACAGUGGCUUGCACCUGUACUCCCAGCUACUCAGGAGGCUGAGGCAGGAGGAUCCUUUGGACCCAGGAAUUCAAGGCAGCAGUGAGCUAGGUUCCUGCCACUGCACUCCUGCCUGGGUGACAAAGGGAGACCCUAUCUCUA